rnacentral:rRNA from 1 species
CAGUAGCCGCGGGAAUACGAAGGGGGCUAGCGUUGCUCGGAAUUACUGGGCGUAAAGGGAGCGUAGGCGGAUGAAUUAGUCAGGGGUGAAAUCCCGGGGCUCAACCUCGGAACUGCCUUUGAUACUGUUCAUCUUGAGUAUGGGAGAGGUGUGUGGAACUCCGAGUGUAGAGGUGAAAUUCGUAGAUAUUCGGAAGAACACCAGUGGCGAAGGCGACACACUGGCCCAUUACUGACGCUGAGGCUCGAAAGCGUGGGGAGCAAACAGGAUUAGAUACCCCGGUAGUCCCUGUCUCUUAUAC